CGUUAGAGGUAACAGAAAAUUUAUUAGGGCUAAGCUUAAUAUGUUAUAGUUAUAUAGGUAUGAAGCUAGGUUUGUUAAAGGAUUAAUAGUGUCCUUGUGUUUUAUAACUAAAUAGUAUUUGUUUAUAUUGAUGGGUUAUAGGAGGGUGUCUAAAAAUUUUCUUAGUUAGUAAUAAUGGUAGAAUUAGUAGAUUUAAAUAUUAGUGUAUUAUAUAGGUGGGUUAUUUAACGUGAUUUGAUAUAGUAAAUUUUGGUAAGGAAUUCGGCAAAAAUCCUUCUUAACUGUUUAUCAAAAACAUUUCUUUAAGUGAGGAUUUAAAGUAUAUUCUGCCCCCUGAUUGAUCUAUUAAAUGGCCGCAGUAGCCUGACUGUGCUAAGGUAGCAUAAUCAUUAGGUUCUUGAUUGGGAUCUGGAAUGAAUGAAUGAAUAAGGAGGAGCUGUCUAUCAAUAUAGUUUGAAUUUAAAUUUUUAGUAAGAAUGCUAGAAUGAACUAGUGGGACGAUAAGACCCUAUAAAGCUUUACUAAUUUUUAGUGAAAUUUUUUACUACUCUCACAAAGAGAUUAGUUUUACUGGGGCGGUAGCUACGUAACUUAGUUAGUUUUUUAUCCUUCUGGAUCCAUCUUUGAUGAAGUAAGAUUGAGUUACUUUAGGGAUAACAGCAUAAUAUAUCUAUGGAGUUCUAAUCGAAGGAUAUGGUUGUGACCUCGAUGUUGAAUUAACCUUAUUGUAGGGUGAAGAAGUUCUAUGAGUUAGUCUGUUCGACUAUUGAAGGGUUACGUGAUUUGAGUUCAAACCGGUUUAAGCCAGGUUGGUUUCUAUCUACUGGGCUUAAAAAGUCUUUUAGUACGAAAGGACCAAAGAUUUUAGAUUUUCUAUUUAAUAUUUGGUUUUCCUACUCUAGGGCUG
rnacentral:rRNA from 1 species